GACAGAGGGUGCAAACGUUGUUCGGAAUUACUGGGCGUAAAGCGCUUGUAGGCGGCUCGGCAAGUCGGGUGUGAAAGCCCUGGGCUUAACCUAGGAAGUGCACUCGAAACUGCCAAGCUUGAGUUCUGGAGAGGAAGGCGGAAUUCUCGGUGUAGAGGUGAAAUUCGUAGAUAUCGAGAGGAACACCGGUGGCGAAGGCGGAUCUCUGGGCCUGUUCUGACGCUGAGGCGCGAAAGCUAGGGGAGCGAACAGG
rnacentral:rRNA from 1 species